AUGUGGUACAACCAACUCAGUGAGUUCUUUAUUCAGAAAGGUUACUCAAAUAGUGUUGAUUGCCCAUGUGUUUUCAUCAAGAAGUCCGCUACAGGAUUUUGCAUCAUUUCUAUGUAUGUUGAUGAUCUCAACAUCAUCGACAGCACACCAGACAUUGAUGAAGCACACAAUCACCUAAAGAUGGAAUUUGAGAUGAAGGAUUUGGGUAAAACCAAAUUUUGCUUAGGUAUUCAACUUGAGCACCUUCCCUCAGGAAUCAUGGUACACCAAUCUGCCUAUAUCCAGAAAAUAUUGGAGAAAUUCAAUAUGGACAAAUCCUAUCCAUCUAAAACUCCCAUGGUGGUUUGA
rnacentral:rRNA from 1 species